rnacentral:rRNA from 1 species
UACGGAGGGAGCUAGCGUUGUUCGGAUAUACUGGGCGUAAAGCGCACGUAGGCGGCGCAGCAAGUCAGGGGUGAAAUCCCGGAGCUCAACUCCGGAACUGCCUUUGAAACUGCAGUGCUAGAAUCCUGGAGAGGCGAGUGGAAUUCCGAAUGUAGAGGUGAAAUUCGUAGAUAUUCGGAAGAACACCAGUGGCGAAGGCGACUCGCUGGACAGGUAUUGACGCUGAGGUGCGAAAGCGUGGGGAGCAAACAGG